rnacentral:rRNA from 1 species
AUACGGAAGGUCCGGGCGUUAUCCGGAUUUAUUGGGUUUAAAGGGAGCGCAGGCGGAGAUGCAAGCGUGACGUCAAAUUUCGGGGUUCAACCCCGUCUCGCGUCGCGAACUGCGUCCCUUGGUUGCGGGAAGGGGAGGCGGAACUGGUGGUGUAGGGGUGGAAUGCAUAGAUAUCACGAAGAACUCCUCUCGCGAAGGCAGCCUUCCGGCCCGUCAACGACGCUCAAGCACGAAGGCGUGGGGAUCAAACAGGAUUAGAUACCCUGGUAGUCCACGCAGUAAACGAUGAUUACUGGCUGUUUGCGAUAUAAUGUAAGCGGCUGAGCGAAAGCGUUAAGUAAUCCACCUGGGGAGUACGUUCGCAAGAAUGAAACUCAAAUGAAUUGACGGGG